rnacentral:rRNA from 1 species
CGUAGGGACCGAGCGUUGUCCGGAUUCAUUGGGCGUAAAGAGCUCGUAGGCGGCUGCUCAAGUCGAAUGUGAAAACUCGAGGCUCAACCUCGAGCCUGCAUUCGAUACUGGGCGGCUAGAGUCUGGUAGGGGGAUCUGGAAUUCCUGGUGUAGCGGUGGAAUGCGCAGAUAUCAGGAGGAACACCGGUGGCGAAGGCGGGACCCUGGGCCAGUACUGACGCUGAGGAGCGAAAGCGUGGGGAGCAAACAGGAUUAGAUACCCUGGUAGUCCACGCCGUAAACGAUGGGCGCUAGGUGUGGGAGGUCAUCGACUCCUUCCGUGCCGCAGCUAACGCAUUAAGCGCCCCGCCUGGGGAGUACGGCCGCAAGGCUA